rnacentral:rRNA from 1 species
AGAACGAACGCUGGCGGCAUGCCUAACACAUGCAAGUCGAACGCUUUUGGGGCUUCGGUCCCAAAGGAGUGGCGCACGGGUGAGUAGCGCGUGGGAACCUGCCCUGUUGUGGGGGAUAACCGAGGGAAACUUCGGCUAAUACCGCAUACGCCCGGGGGAAACUCCGGGGAAAGAUUUAUCGCAGCAGGAGGGGCCCGCGUCGGAUUAGGUAGUUGGUGGGGUAACGGCCCACCAAGCCUGUGAUCCGUAGUUGGUCUGAGAGGAUGAUCAGCCACACUGGGACUGAGACACGGCCCAGACUCCUACGGGAGGCAGCAGUGGGGAAUAUUGGACAAUGGGCGCAAGCCUGAUCCAGCAAUGCCGCGUGAGUGAUGAAGGCCUUCGGGUUGUAAAGCUCUUUCGCACGCGACGAUGAUGACGGUAGCGUGAGAAGAAGCCCCGGCUAACUUCGCGCCAGCAGCCGC